rnacentral:lncRNA from 1 species
AAGGCAACUGAAAGAGAACAAAGAUGUCUCCAAAUGUGGGCUGGCUGGGCAUCGUGCAGGAAGAGGUGGAGUGGGGUAAGAUAAAAGGACACCACCUGUCCAGAUGAUAGGUCUCAGAAGACCAUGACUCCACCCCUGUCCAAUCAAUUAUCCACUCUAACAUCAGGUUUCCUUGCCUGUGAAUUGGAAAUAAUGACACUCUCUCUUACAUGGCUGUUGUGCUGAUCAAAUGAGAUAAUAUCUACGGAAGGCUCUCUGUACACCACUACACACCAGAGGAGAGAGGCAGCAAUAUUUAACAUGAACCAAAGAGCAUUUGAAAUGAUGUUAACUCUCCUGAGACAGGAUGUUCUUUGGCUGGGAAAGCAGUAAUCCCUCCCCUCGGUGACCUCAGUGAAUUUCAGACAGAUCUUCAAAGCCGAUCAGGUGUCUGCAGGGUAGAGUGGUGAAAAUGUUCCAAGUUCUCUGACCUCCCUCUGCUGGAGAGAAGGUUGGCAUCAAGGACGGAAGCUUUCAAUUGCAUUGAACAUAGCCUGGACAGGUUCCAAGUGGAAGGAACAUUCAAUUCACUUAAAGGCGCUCGACGGGUCCUUCUGCUCUCAUCUGUACCCAGGGGAAAACAAAUCCUGGUGUUAUAAGGCAUUUGGACAGCAGCAUAUCACAGCUAAGAGAGCACUAGGCUUACAGAGAGGAGCCCUGGGUCCCGGGCUUGGCUCUGCCUCUCAGAGCUUGGGACCCUGGCACAUUGCCCUGCCCCUUGGGGACCCCUGGCCCAUCUUCUAAAUAUGAAAAUAAAA